rnacentral:rRNA from 1 species
CACCGGCGGCUCGAGUGGUGGCCACUUUUAUUGGGUCUAAAGCGUCCGUAGACGGCUUGGCAAGUCCCCUGGGAAAUCUGGCGGCUUAACCGUCAGGCGUCCAGAGGAUACUGCCAGGCUUGGGACCGGGAGAGGUGAGAGGUACCUCAGGGGUAGGGGUGAAAUCUUGUGAUCCCUGAGGGACCACCAGUGGCGAAGGCGUCUCACUAGAGCGGGUCCGACGGUCAGGGACGAAAGCUGGGGGCACGAACCGU